UUGCUAAUGUUCACGCUUCAAGGAUUGUCAGCUACACCGCUGUAGAAUCACCAAACAAUGCCUCCAAAUCCCUCAAGAAGUCAGCCAUACAGCCUUCUAACUUUAGGAGCAUCUCAUGUUGACUUUGUCAAAUAUCUCAGGAUCCAUCACGAACCACAGAUGAACUAGGGCCCCGAGCUUCAACAUCAGAGAGGGAGAUGUUUCCCUGCAUUUGGUUCUCAAACACACACCUCUACAGACGUGGCUGAAUCCCCUCUUCCAUCCCUCUAGGGAAGAGAUGGCCUGAUACGGAGUCUGGCUAGAGUACUGAAAAUUUAUCAUAAUGUUUAUACUUCAUCGUCUUCUAUUCUUGUGCCUUCUAGCCUUAAAAUGUAACCAUGAUAUAUACAGAAGUUAUCCCUCAAUUUCUUGUAUCUUAUUUGGAGGGAAAUUUUGGAUGUUUGAGGGUAAGAGGCACAUGAGGGACUGGAUUUGAAUCUCUGCAUGUCAGAUAUUAAAGUUCAUGGAAUUAGGCACACAUUGCUAUAGUCAGUGUAACCCUCAAAUCUGAUCUUACUAAACCUACACAAUAUUUAAAAGAUGCUCCAGAUUUCUGAAACACUAUAAAAAUAAUGCUCUGAAUUUUAGACAUUUGAUAAUUUGUAAGUGAAGGUAUUCGAGUUUGAUUAUGAUAUGUCCAUGCAUUGAAGUUUAUUUAUGAGGAGAGUUAUUCAAUAGACAUUUCUUGGGGCCAAAUAUAUGUAUAUGAAA
rnacentral:lncRNA from 1 species